GAUGAACGCUGGCGGCGUGCCUAAUACAUGCAAGUCGAGCGAACAGAUAAGGAGCUUGCUCCUUUGACGUUAGCGGCGGACGGGUGAGUAACACGUGGGUAACCUACCUAUAAGACUGGGAUAACUUCGGGAAACCGGAGCUAAUACCGGAUAACAUUUGGAACCGCAUGGUUCUAAAGUGAAAGAUGGUUUUGCUAUCACUUAUAGAUGGACCCGCGCUGUAUUAGCUAGUUGGUAAGGUAACGGCUUACCAAGGCGACGAUACGUAGCCGACCUGAGAGGGUGAUCGGCCACACUGGAACUGAGACACGGUCCAGACUCCUACGGGAGGCAGCAGUAGGGAAUCUUCCGCAAUGGGCGAAAGCCUGACGGAGCAACGCCGCGUGAGUGAUGAAGGGUUUCGGCUCGUAAAACUCUGUUAUUAGGGAAGAACAAAUGUGUAAGUAACUGUGCACGUCUUGACGGUACCUAAUCAGAAAGCCACGGCUAACUACGUG
rnacentral:rRNA from 1 species